GCUUAGCAACUGGAAGCAUUGAGGCCCAGGAGAUCUUUAAUUCAAAAUCCUAGCGCGCGCCGCGACUCUUUUUAUUUAAAAGCGUACCGCGAAGCUGAAACACCCUUGUCAAUUUUGGAUGCGGUUGCCUCUAGUCACUUUUGGGGCUCCUCCCAACUUUGAAGUCCAUCUACAAGAGACAAAUACUUAUCUUUUGGCUUUUUUAACAGUUGACAACACAAAUUCUUGGAUUCUUUAACCACUUUAAGAGCCAUGGAACUGUGGAGAAGAAGGCAAUGGGAAGGUUAUGUCGCUUAAACUACCCA